GGUAAAGCGUCCGACUUCAGCUCAGGUCAUAAUCUCAGAGUUUGCGAGUUGGAGCACCUCAUCGGGCUCUGUGCUGAGAGCUCAGAGCCUGGAGCCUCCUUAGGAUUCUGUGUCUCCCUCUCCCUCUGCCCCUGCCCCUCUCAUGCUCUCUUU